rnacentral:lncRNA from 1 species
CAGAAAUAAGCAGGGAUCAGCUUAAACACCAAGAGGCCAUCCUGCAGACAAACUGACCGGAAACCUUGGACUCUGACAGCAGUGUCAGCAAGGGACUCCUACCUAGCAGGACCGGGGACUCGGGGACUCGUCUACUUAAAUUGUCAAAUGCAAAAACCAGGACCAAGCUCCCUGGCAGCUUCGCGGCCGAAGAGAGGAGAUGUGACUGGUCUGCUGGGCGCCGGGAGCCGUCGGGCCGGGAGCAGCCGCCUGGGCAUGCAGCUCCCAGGGCCUGUGGGCGCCCUGGGAACCCGCACCACCAGGGCCAGGCACCUGCGGGCCUGAGGGCGGCGGACCUUCCCCUGGGGCAGGGACAACUGCAUACAGCAGUCAGGGGGAGGACCAGAGGGCAGGAGAGGGCAGCGUUCCAGACGUGGGUCGGGAAGCCCUUCCUGGAGGCUGGAUCUGGGCCAGGCCCGCAGGACACCCGUGGUCAGCCUGCAGGCCGGUGGGCCUAGACCUGGAGGAACGUGUUUUCAGUUUGGGGAUGUAGUGAAUAUACGAUUCUAUAUAUUUGAUAAAAGUGGCUGAAUGCAGCCGGGCACUUGGCACUCACCUGUGAUCCCAGCUGCUCGGGAGGCUGCGGUGGGAGGUGGGAGGAUGGAAAGUUCAAAGCCAGCCUCAACAACUUGGUGAGACCCUGUCUCAAUAAAAAGGAAAAGAAAGGGCUGGGGAUGUGGCUCAGUGGUUAAGCACCUUGGGUUCAAUCCCUGGCACGCGCGUGCGCACGCGCACACGCACA